GGAGGCUCCCGUGGCCCGCCUGCCCGGCGCCCCGGCGGCAGUCCUGCCCACCGGCGUGCAGGAGGCAGCAGGGGGAGGGCGGAGGGGCUCACCGGCUCACCGUCAAGCCACAGUGGCGGAUCUGUCCUCAAGCCACAGCCGCGGACGCCGAGGUCGUUGACGCCGGGCAGGGGAGGUCACGGGGCACGUCUCGGCCUUGUUCCCGACGCCGACAACCUCAAUCUCCAACCCUAAGGUGAAUGCCCUUCCAGACUCCCAAUAUGAAAUUCAGUCGUUGACCUGCACAUUUGUAGCUCCUGUUUGGAUUUAGAGAGAUAAGAUUCAUUUCACUCUGUGCCCGUCCUGAUCUGAUUCAUUUCAUUAGUACGGCUGGUAGCUUGGUAUGGAUUGGUCCUAGGGCCAAGUGCAAUUCUAGGGUUUUGCUGCACCACAUUUGAGUGCCUGUAAAUUUCGGUUUGUGUGCUCUCAUUUCAAUCCGCGAUAGGUUUCAGUUUGGUGUUUGUGUUUGUGGCUGAAGCUGUUUGUCACUAUUCAGCAGAUUUUGCCUAGCUGGCGCCUGGUAACAUGACACCAACGGUCCUCAUGGAGUAUAGGCCGCAGAUGCAGAUUAAACGGAGCUACGUUGAAAUAGCUUACCGGGGCAUGGGGUAUGCAGAGACUGUAGGUGGGUCGGGCAGCCCUGUUCGUGUUGACUCUGAAGAUUCAUCUGCGCCAAAAUGCAAGUGCAUCAGCCUUAAUAGCGAUGGCUUUGAUGUGAAGCAAGAGAUCUUUGUCCCGUCUAAGUUGUCGUCGUCUGAGCGGCGCUACCUUCGAAAGAGAUUCCGGGCAGAGCUUGGUUCUGUCAUGUAUCUCCUCAAGAGGCCAGAGUUUUUUUCCAUCAUGCCUGUCAGCCGAGCACCAUCCGACGCUUGACUGUAUAUUAUCAUGCUUAUCAAGUUCUUUCCUUAUGUCAAUUUUACAGAUAAAUUCAUUUGUGUCAAGUAUCGCUUUUUUCCAUAUGAACAUGACAAGUUGUCAUAUAUUGGCUUGUCAAAUCUAUCGGGUGCCAAGUUCACUUGAAAUAUUCUUAAUUCUGUUUCUUCUGAUUUUGGUGUUGGUGUAUGUAUUGUUAGUGAAAAUAUGCUCACAGUUUUUUUUUUUGAACUAUGUGUAUACCAUUAACUGAUGUCAUUAUGUUUUCCAGGGGUAUAUGGACCAGAAAUGAUGUGAUAUACUUGGUUAUUUGAACAUGAAGGUCAACCAUGGGGAGGCGCGACAUGGCGUGGCCUCAGCCCAUUAGGUGUCCUCUCUUUUUGCCUAUUGUUUCCUCUGGAACUCUGAUUUUGUUUGGCUUAUGAAGGCACAUUCAUCCUGCAAGUACAAUCAUGAUUAAGAUUUAGAACGCCCUGCACGCCGGUUUACUUUCUUUCGUACAUUGAUUGCUAUUUUUUAUGCCUUAUAUCCUACGCCUCAUCACACAAUAGUUUGGUAAAGAAAGAGUGAACCCACUCAUGAAUUUGCACUAAUUAUAUAUUUAUGUCACUAUUAAUAAUUUGUAUUUACUUUAUCUGCUCUCGUGAGUUCGUCGAGUUCCUUUCUCAAUGUGCUUAGAUGCUUGUGCAACAGCAGAAGUAAUUGUUGAUUGGCUUAGCCUUUGUGUCGGUUUCAUAUGUAUAUAUGUCAUUGGCCUAGCUAACAUCACGUGUCAGUAAUUUGUGCUUUCUUUCUUUGGGAUAAUUAUGCCUAGCUGGAAACAGAGAGGAGUCAGGUAGCCUGCUACUGUUCCUUUUGUUUGCUACUGUUCCUUUUGUUUUCUAAAGUGUCCCUUCAAUUAAUCCAGUAACCUGACAUUACUUUGUGUUUAACUAAUAUCAUUCUUAUCACAGUGAGUAUUAUAUUAUUCAGUUAGCCUCCUUUUCGUCGAAGAGGCGUGAAAGUGUAGAGGGUAGAAAUGGUAAUUGAAUGGGUGUUCUCUUUUUACGCAAGCAUUCUCCUCCUUAUCUUGCUAUUUAUGCAUCUCCGUAUUUCAUUGGUAUUCUUCCGAUUUGCAGUGAUUAUAGGAAGCGCAUACAUGGGUGAGUUGAAAUUGUUCUACUGAUUCCUCGAUGCUCUGUUCAUGGCUUUGUUCUUAUUUUAUCCUUCUUUCUUUUCUUUGUUCUUUCCUACAAGAAGAUGCCGAGUCGUGCAAUAUGUUCAAAGAAGAGAGAAUCUGCAUUUUAUGAAUGUUUUCUUCUUUCUUCAUUGUUACCUCGAGUUAGUGAAUUCAGUUAAGUUGUACUGAGCAGCUAAUGCACAUCUUAUUCAGUCACGAGGCCAUUAAGAUCUUUUUGACUUUUACUAAAAGGGAGAUGCCAUUUAGACCUUGCCCUGUCCAACUUGAUCUUUAACUUGCUACUACUGUUUGUAAGCAUUUUCCCAAGCACUGUUUUAUUUGCUUCAGUGAAUCAGGUCACCUUAUUCAGUGGAUGUUCCAAGUAAAAAAAUUAGAAACUGAGCAAUUAGUUCCACUCUUGAAUUUUGUACAACAGUCCAAAUUAUCCAAUAAAUCAUUUGUUAGCAGGGUCUACUUAUAGAAGUUGAAUCAGUUGUUCCAAAUUACCAGUCGAAUGCUGUACAACACAGUGAACUGUUCCAUUCUUAGACGUUGAGCUGAAAUUUCCUUAAUCUGGUUUCUCAUCGUCGGCUGCCCCUCGAGCUAAAAAUGUUCAACGGGGGAGCCAUGUUCUCCGUGGUGCCAAGGGACGCUUCUUGCCGACAAAACCCUGGCCCGAAAUAUCUACAGUGUUGCCUGAAGCUACAAUUCUGAAGCAGUGCGAAGCUAUUCUGAAGAAGCUGAAAUUUAGUCAUAUUUUUAAUGUUCCAGUAGAUGUGGAAAGGCUGAAUAUUCCAGAUUAUAAUGAAAUUAUCAAGCACCUGAUGGACCUUGGGACCAUCAAGAAGAAGCUAGAUUCUGGUUCCUACCAAAGUUUUGGAUUUCGUCCGAGAAAACCAAAAUUCCAGCGAUUUUCGUCCAUCUCGUUACCGGCCCAAAAAAUUCGGCCACUUUUAAACUCACAGCCCAGCCCAUGGUCUACUACAGCCCACACAAACCCCCCUGUGGUAUAAAAGCAUGAAUUCUGUGGAGCAAGGUUCAGGGCUGGAUUGAAAGCACCAUCUCCUCAGCGGGAAAGGAAGUGUUGGUAAAAUCUGUGGCACAAGGAGUACCGGUCUUUUCUAUGUCUUGCUUCAAGCUUCCAAGAGGUUUAUGUGAACAUCUGAACAUGCUUAUUAGGAAAUUCUGAUGGGGUAGUAAGGAAGGAAAACGGAAGCCUCAUUGGGUCUCCUGGAAAACUAUGACGCAGCCCAAGGGCAUGGGGGGUCUGGGGUUCAAAGAUUUUGAACUCUUCAACUUAUCAAUGUUGGCGAAACAAGCCUGGAGGCUGCUACAGAAUCCAGAAACCUUGAGUGCUCGUAUCUUGAAAGGCGUAUACUACCCAAACUCGGAUAUACUGGGCGCGGAACUAGGAAGCCAUCCCAGCCAAGUUUGGCGUGCCAUCAUCGAGGGCAGGGAUACACUACGGCAGGGAUUAAUCAGACGGAUUGGGAACGGAGAAACAACACACAUAUGGGGUCAGAACUGGCUGCCCCGAGAGGGGAUGUUUCGUCCCCUUGGAAGUAUCGCCCCCAAUCCCCCCAAUCGGGUGUCCGAGCUCAUCAUUGCCGCAACCGCAUCUUGGAACAGGCAACUUGUCCAACAACAUUUUAUGCCAAUAGAUGCACAAGUUGUACUAGCAAUUCCUUUGUGCACAAGAAACGUAAGUGACUUUUGGGCUUGGUACUAUGAGAAAAAUGGAGCUUUUACUGUAAAGUCGGCGUACAAGAUGCUUGUUGCCACUAAACAAAGAAGGGAGGCGUGGUUAGAAGGGUCUGCGGGAACUUCAAACUCCAUUGCAGAGGAGGGAUCAUGGAAGAGAUUAUGGAAGACGGAGGUGCCGGGGAAAAUUCGCAUGUUCUUAUGGAGACUGUCGAAGCACUCCCUCCCAACAAACGAUGUCAGGGCAAACCGACACAUGGCUACCUCUGACCAGUGCGGGCUUUGCGGUAACCGGGAUUCAUGGCGUCACUCCUUGCUAGAGUGCUCAUCAUCAAGGAGCGUUUGGGCGCUCAUUGAUGAGGAUGUCACACAUAAAAUCAUAGGGAGCACGGAGCCAAGUGCGAGGCAGUGGCUGUUCACUCUCAUGCAAAUGUUAUCACAUGAUCAGUUCAUCCUUGCAGCAGUUACACUAUGGUCCAUCUGGCAUGCCCGACGCAAAGCUAUUCAUGAAGCCAUAUUUCAGAGCCCCCAAUCUACCUUUGACUUUAUUGGACGUUUCUUGGCAGAACUAGAUACUAUAAAGACGAUGGAACGAGGUCAGGUCGCUGCACCAGCGGCUGCCGCACCCAUUCAACGACGGCCGAAGAAACCUCCUGCUGGGUGGUGCAAGAUUCAUGUGGACGCCGGGGUUAUGGAAAGAAGAGGAGGAUCUGCGGCAGCAGUUUGUAGAGAUUCGGCCGGAAACUACAUGGGCAGCUCGGCCCUAGUGGUCGAGGGAGUGGAAGACGCGGCGACACUUGAAGCUCUUGCUUGUCGGGAGGCGUUAUCCCUUGCAGAAGAUAUGGGUAUCCAGAACUUUGUUAUUGCCUCGGACUGCCAGCAAGUCGUCUCAGAUAUCAAUAGGAGGUCACACGGUACGUAUGGAGCAAUUAUCGCGGAAAUAAACCUUAGAGGUUCUUCCUUUCACUGUAUUUUUUCUUUUGAGAGUCGUGCUGUGAAUUAUGAAGCACAUAGUUUAGCCAAGUUUUCUCUUUUGAGAGGUCCGGGACGCCACGUCUGGUUUGGCGCUCCUCAUGACCAGAGAUGUAUCCCACUCCAUGUGGACUUUACGGAAUAAACUUGGUUUUUCCCCUCAAAAAAAAAAAUCUCCUCCUAACCCUAAAAUUCACUUUUCCCGUCUCCAUCCGACUGAGCGGCGGCUGUGGGCAACGGAACCCUAGCGAGUGAGGCGGGGGCGCGGUGCAGCGCCGCCUCCUCCCAUCCACCUCGUCUCCCUCCCUCCCAAUCUCCUCCCUCGUCUCCUUCCCUCCCAAUCUCCUCCCUCCCAGUCUCUUUCCCGUCCAUGGACGGUGGUGGCAGCGCCAUGGAGCACGGCCCAUCAAUAAUUUCCCAUUUAUGCACUUUCUUAUAUUCUGUCAUAAACAUGUGAUGUUUGCUUUAGUCCAUAUGAUUUUCAAUGUUGUUUCAAUUGGGGUUGCCAUCUAUUAAUUGUUGUUUCUGCCAUCUACUUGAUGUUUAUAUAAUUCACAAUGCUUUAGUCCAUAUGAUUCUAUAUGGUGUUUCAAUUGGGGCUGCCAUCUAUGAGUUGUUGCUGCCAUCUACUUGUAAUGUUUAUAUAAUUCACAAUGCUUUAGUCCAUCUGAAUUUAUAUGUUGUUUUAAUUUGGGCUGUCAUCUAUGAGUUGUUUCUGCCAUCUACUUGUAAUAUGUAUAUAAUUCACAUUGUUUCUGCCCAUAUGAUUUUAUAUGUUGUUCCAAUUGCGGCUGCCAUCAUUGAGUUGUUGUUUCUGCCAUCUAUGUUUAUAUAAUUCACAAUGCUUUAAUUGCAAGGUUAAGCGGCAUGGGAGCAAAAGAGCUUUUGGUUUGAUGAAGACUAACGGGUGGAUGAACAGGAAGUCCGAAGUGAAGGUCUCUGUUCGAUUCAAUACUUUUGGUGCAAGACUGAAGAGUUGAAGAACAGGAAGUCUGAAUUGAACUUUCUGUUUGUAUUUUGGGGUCGGCAUAAUUGAACUUUGAAUGCCGUGUUAAAUUCAUCAUGGACUGUAAUUCUGAACCGUUAUGGGUGUUCGUUUCGACUCUUGGUAGAACUAUUAAGUCGCAUGUUACUCUUAGUAUCUGAACUAUUAAGUCACAUGUUAAUCUGGACUAUCAUGUUGCUUUUCUAAUGGUUGCUGCUCUCUGAAUCGAUCCACUAUGCUAUUGUCUGAAUGGUUGCAACUGGAGUGUUGAUGUUCAGUCUGAUACAUAGUGAUUUGAUGAAUAGAUUCAGCUGUUUGAUUUUUACAUGCAUAUUUUGCUAAAAGUUUUGAAUACUCAUUUGUUGUUCUGUU
rnacentral:lncRNA from 1 species